AAUGUGCGUUAAGUGUGCAUUUAGACUGGUGUUAUAAAUACAAUUCUAUUUAAGGUCUUUUCUUUAGCAUAUACAAACUUAUUUCCCCCGUGUAUACGAUUCGAUUUAUGCACGAUGCUGUGUGUACGUGUAAAAACGAUUGGCGGCUUGUUCAUUCGCAAUCUGAAUGGACACAAACUUAUUAACCAAGUGAACCAUUUAAAAAUGAUAUUUAUGGUCGGUGGGAAUAUGAAGAAUGUUAUGUGUUCGAGUUUGGUUGGUUGGUUGCGUGCGUUUCUGCGAAACGUAAGUAGAUUUGUUUUUCAGUUUCACUGAAUACAACCAGUUCGUUUCGAUUGGACGCGUUCGCCGGUGUGUUCGUGUUUACUAGAGUUUAAAUUGUAUGAAUGCGGCUGUGGCGGUAAUAAUAAAGUGAUAUCAUCAAUUACACACUUGAUUGUUCAUCACACUUCCGAAUGAUGUGGCAUGACACCUCAGGCGAAAAAAUUACGAUUAAUUAAAUGAUGUUUAGGUUUUGCUUUAAAAAAAACAAUUUGAAGAAAUCAAAGAAGAGACGAAGAAGAUUUACGAAAAGAGAGGGAGAGAGAGAGACUAGCCGAUCCGAAUCCAUUUCAUUUGAAUGAUACAUCUAAAAUCCAACCACUCAUUGCUUAUUCACUUGUUGAGCAAAUGUGCGAUAUUUUAAUAAACUGACGCCGUCAAAAAGAAACUAUAUUUUUGAUUCGUGACUGAGAUGCAUCGGUGUGCGUAUUUAUAGACGAAGAAAAAUUCAACCGCAUCAUCAUUCAAACUCUCAAAAACGAUUAUGUCGACUCAUAAACUUACCGCUUAUGCAGAUUUUCCAUGAAUUUCUCCAACGUGACUUCGUCCAACAAAACGAAAUCUUGAACGCCAACUUCUGUUUGUUGUGCCAUUUUGGUUGUUGCUUCGUGUUUUUUUUUCCAAUUUGCUUUUUUUUUUGUUCCGAAGAAAAACUGCUACUUUUAAGUCUUCGCUGUUAUAAAAUCUCUUUGAUGCGAGGUUUUCAGAUUAACUUUGUAACGCAAUAGUUCUGCUUUGCAUUGAUUUCUAUUUUCGGUGUGUGUAUAUUUUUAAGGUAUAAGUGAUGAAUUUCGAAAGCACCAAAGUGUCACUGACACCACACAUACAGAUCGAGUCAAAGAAUCGAAAUGAAAUCGAAUCGAUAUAUGCAAAUAAAGCAACCGAUCAAAUAAUAUGCUAUUGAAAUCGUCGUGUCUCUCUCUGUUUUUUUUUUCAAAUGUAAAUAUGAAUAAAAGGUAAUGACUAUGUACACGAACGGCCUGACGAAUCGUUUCGUUGGUUACUUAUGUGUGCCCGAUUCGUCUUAUUUUUUUUCGUUAUUUUUUUCUUCGGCACUAAAGUUGGUACAUCGAGCAUUUCACGUAGAUCAUCAAGCAAAGAGAGACUUAUUUUUUUUAAUACAAAGGCACAUACGGAUUUACUGAAUGUAGCACACAACACGUUUAGCACAGCGAGUCAAAUGCCAGAGAGCUCAACUUGAACUUAAACUUCUUAUUGGAAUAUAUGUAGAUCGUUGCUUGUACUAGUUCUUUUCUCUUUACAAUCGUAUGAUUUAUGGUACACUCAUUUUUUUUUCACUUGGACAAUUGGCCUGAACUUAAUUCCAA